rnacentral:rRNA from 1 species
GAUGAACGCUGGCGGCGUGCCUAAUACAUGCAAGUCGAACGCAUAGCGAAAGGUGCUUGCACCUUUCAAGUGAGUGGCGAACGGGUGAGUAACACGUGGACAACCUGCCUCAAGGCUGGGGAUAACAAUUGGAAACAGAUGCUAAUACCGAAUAAAACUUAGUGUCGCAUGACACAAAGUUAAAAGGCGCUUCGGCGUCACCUAGAGAUGGAUCCGCGGUGCAUUAGUUAGUUGGUGGGGUAAAGGCCUACCAAGACAAUGAUGCAUAGCCGAGUUGAGAGACUGAUCGGCCACAUUGGGACUGAGACACGGCCCAAACUCCUACGGGAGGCUGCAGUAGGGAAUCUUCCACAAUGGGCGAAAGCCUGAUGGAGCAACGCCGCGUGUGUGAUGAAGGCUUUCGGGUCGUAAAGCACUGUUGUAUGGGAAGAACAGCUAGAAUAGGAAAUGAUUUUAGUUUGACGGUACCAUACCAGAAAGGGACGGCUAAAUACGUG